AGCUUCUUCUCUCUUUCUAUUCAACGGCGCUCUUAUCUUCCUCUCGCUACACCGCACUGUUUUCUCAUCUCUGCACACGUUCAACUUUCGUACUUGCCCGACGAGUAUCACCUCUUCUCUCACGCAUACUUGAUCACCAUGUCCUCUCUGCGCAAGCUCGUCCCGGCCACCGCGAUCGCUGUGGCCGCGAUGGCCCUCCCUGCGGCUGCAACGACGACGACCGCGGCCCCUGUCCCUGUCAACCUCAGGCUGAACAUCAUCACGGCGGUGCUGAUCCUUGGGGUGUCGAUUGUGUUGGCGCUGGUGUACACCCUGUGGAGGCUUCUCCCGAGGAUCCGCAGUGGCGAUCUCUCCUUCUCGAAGCUCGAGUUCGACUGGCGUGCGGAGCUGCUGAACCAGACGCCGAAAAAGGAGAAGGCGCGCCGCGCGGCUGAGAAGGCUCGCCGUGAGGAGGAGAUGGCGUCCGGGUGCGACCGCGACAACAACGAGGGACGCGUGCAGUACGCCCCCACGCAGCCGCGGGUGGAGGUGGGCGAGGGCGACGCCGCGGCGGCCAGGUCGCAGCGCAAUGGGCAGAGGCACGGCGAGGCCGACGAGAGCGUUGCGGUGACGGUGCCCCGCGAGUAGGAAAGAGGGAACAAAACACCCACCACUAAUGAGUAAACAUGCACAGCACAUAUGAGUGCAGCAAGGCAUUGCAGGGGAGCGAGGGGGCGACUGGGGACAGAAGAGAAAGACAGCGCGAGGGAGAGACGGCGUGAGCCCCCCCCCCUCCUCCCCCAGCCUUCUCCCUUGUGCAUGACAGGUGUGCAGAUUGCGCGACUUCGCCGUUCGUUCUCCGUCCCACGCUGUCUGCGUCUUGGAGCGGCGAAGGAUAGGGGCGCAUGAAACGCACGGCAUCUGGUGCGAAUGCGACCGUCACUGCCGACGUCACCUGCGUCGGUGUGGGCGCCUCUGUGCGUCUGUGUCUGUGCGCGUCGUCUGUUCUUCUCCUCUUCUCACGUUGUUGCCUGCUGCCUUUUCUUUUCCUUUUUCUUCAUCCCAUGUUGUUGUCUGUGUACGAGUCUGUGACACUAACGGUGAUAUGUUCUCUCCUCCUCGUGUCCCCUCUUUCGGUGUGCCUUUUGUUUUGCUCUAUUAUGUUUGCUUUGUUUCAUCGAACACGUGUGCGCCGAGCCGUCCCGCCUCUCCGAGAGAGAAUCAAGGUCGCGCGAGAGAGACACGCAUCAGCGCACACACACCCAUAUAUACAUAAGUGAAAGAAACCUCUUCAUGAUCUGUGGCAGCCGUCUGCUCUCUCUCUUUUUCUGUGUUUUUUUUUUUUUUCGUUUCUCGGUUUGUUUUGUUUUGUUCCUCUUCUCAUUUUUGAGGAUAUCAUGCUCUGUGCGCGUUGAAUUAUGCGACGGGCGUGGCGGUGAGGGCGGCGGUGGCGGCGACAGCGUGGGCAGGAGAUGUGUGGUGCUGGUGUAUGGGAGAAGCGCCAGAGCCUCUUUUUCCCUGAUUGCUUCUUCAUUUUUUUUUGUUCUCGCAUCGUCGUCUAUCUCACCUGUCGCGGCUUGGGCUGCGCGAUGGAGCGAAAGAGAAGGGCGAGAAAAGGAGGGGAAAAGGGGUGAGCCGCAGAGGCUUGCGCUGUCCCUGCGCGCGUGGGUCUCUCUCUCCGUGGGCGUUUGGGCAUGCAAGUGCUACUGUGAGUCCAUUCUGCCCUCCUCCUUAUUUUGUGUAUCGUGCGGCGUGGCUCUCGUCUCUCAUCUCUCUCUUUCCUUCGCUUUGUUGAUAAGCGCCUGCGCUCCUCCCCGCCUUCCCCUCCCCCCUCCCCCGCACCAGCAAGCCCUGCAGGCACUUCCUCCCGAGCCCUUUGUCUGCCUGUGCGGAAGUGGCUCCUCGUCUUUCGCUUGUAGCCUAAAGAGGAGAAAAAGAAAACAAGAAGAGAAAAGUGCCGUCACGAUGUUUUGAUUGCUUCUCUGGCUUUGUUUUCGUUGUUGCCCUCUCUCCCACCCCCUCUAAUUUUGACACAUAAAUACAUAGACACAAACCGUCUCUCUCUCUCCAUCUCCCUUGUGUGACUCGCUGAGGUUUUGCAUUCAGCUUGUCCGUAGUCUUCUGCAUUGUGAUCUUCUCAUGAGAGCUUCUUCCCCUUCGCCUUUGUUUUCGACCUCUUUCUCUCUUUUCGUUUCCGUCUCCUCCGUCUUUAACAAUGUCUUCCUCUCGUUGGCGUGGCCGAUCCCCGUGCUGCUCGUUUCAUUCUGCAUUUUUUUCUGUGCGACGUCUGUGUGCGUGUGUGUGUGUGUUUGCAGGUGCUUGUAACUAAAGAGAGAGAAGCACAUGGCAGGCAGACGCACACAACUCCUCUUCCUAUUCCUCUGUUCAGUCUCUUUGCGCAACACCGACUCCGACGCCUGUCGCGAAAAAGAUGUGUUGACGGGCGAUAAAGGAGCGAUGGUGGCUGUGUGCGUGUCUGUGUCUGUGUGUGCGCCUCUUUCGCCCUCAGGAUUUUUUUCCCUGUGCCCGCUUUUCCUCUGAGCACGUCCCCUCUCCCCUCCCGGCGACUCUGCGGAAGUUGUGCAUCAGCGUGCGGUGCUGGGCCUUCCACCGCCCCUGUACCUUCUCCUGCCCGUGUGCUUCUCUGCCCCCUUUCCUCUCUGUGCUUCUAUCUUCUGCUUGUGGGCCCCCACUCCUUCCCACUCCCACUCUCGCUUGUCGAGGCGCACCGUGUGCCCCUCUCUUUCGCGCAUUUCGUUGGAGAAAGGGACGCCGAUGCGGCGGACGGUGGGGGCGAAGCGAUACGCAAGAAGAAGUGCUCAACAUGUUUGCGCUUUGCUGCGCUCAUGAUCACGGCUGCCGGUUUACCCCUGGUGUGUGUGCUGCGCGCAUGCUACUGCUUGCUUAUUACCGUGUGGAUGCUUGUCUGCCGAGUGGCGGGGGAGGAAGGGAGGGGGAGGGGUGGCAGCGGCAACUCGAAAGUCAAGAGGCAACAGAUGCGGGGGCGCCCCUGCUGCUGAGUUCGAAAGCAGAAUGACUGUCAAACAGCACCCUCCCCCCAUUUUCUCGUCGCCCUUUCCAGUCUCACGCCUGUCUGUGUGUGCGUGUCUUUGCAUGUCUGCAUGCCCCAUUCCAUCCGCGUUUCAUUCUGCUCGUCGGCUCUCUCGCUCUCUUUUCUUGACUCUUCGACGUGAUGGCGCGUGCAUGAG
rnacentral:misc_RNA from 1 species